rnacentral:misc_RNA from 1 species
AAAGGGCGAUUUGGUUGGGGGGAAGGAAACUGAACUUUGCCAAGCCAACACACGAAUCAACUAAAAGCUUUGAAAUCUAUCAGGGCGGCAAACAUAAAUUAGCCUUAUGAGACAGAGAAGAUGCAUCACGAAAUGAAACUUUCUCCUAAAUCUCAUAUAUCCACCUGAUGUGCAAUUCCAAACAACAGUUUUUCAGCUCAAGAGACAACAUAUUAAAUUGCCUUUUUG